AGAGUUUGAUCCUGGCUCAGAUUGAACGCUGGCGGUAUGCUUAACACAUGCAAGUCGAACGGUAACAGGCCUUCGGGCGCUGACGAGUGGCGGACGGGUGCGUAACGCGUAGGAAUCUGCCUGUUAGUGGGGGACAACGUGGGGAAACUCACGCUAAUACCGCAUACGCCCUACGGGGGAAAGCGGGGGACCUUCGGGCCUCGCGCUAACAGAUGAGCCUGCGUUGGAUUAGCUAGUUGGUAGGGUAAAGGCCUACCAAGGCGACGAUCCAUAGCUGGUCUGAGAGGACGAUCAGCCACACUGGGACUGAGACACGGCCCAGACUCCUACGGGAGGCAGCAGUGGGGAAUAUUGGACAAUGGGCGCAAGCCUGAUCCAGCAAUACCGCGUGUGUGAAGAAGGCCUGAGGGUUGUAAAGCACUUUUAAUCGGGAGGAACAUCUACGGGUUAAUACCCCGUAGUCUGACAUUACCGAUAGAAAAAGCACCGGCUAACUCCGUGCCAGCAGCCGCGGUAAUACGAAGGGGGCUAGCGUUGUUCGGAAUCACUGGGCGUAAAGCGCACGUAGGCGGAUCUUUAAGUCAGGGGUGAAAUCCCGAGGCUCAACCUCGGAACUGCCUUUGAUACUGGAGGUCUCGAGUCCGGGAGAGGUGAGUGGAACUGCGAGUGUAGAGGUGAAAUUCGUAGAUAUUCGCAAGAACACCAGUGGCGAAGGCGGCCUUCUGGACAGUGACUGACGCUGAGACGCGAAAGCGUGGAGAGCAAACAGGAUUAGAUACCCUGGUAGUCCACGCCGUAAACGAUGAGUGCUAGGUGUCACGGGGCUUUGACCCUCGUGGUGCCGAAGCCUAACGCGUUUAAGCACUCCGCCUGGGGAGUACGGUCGCAAGACUAAAACUCAAAGGAAUUGACGG
rnacentral:rRNA from 1 species